rnacentral:tRNA from 1 species
UGCAAUUGCUGGCGCGGCUCUCGCGCUGGCUGGGUUAUUGUCCGAGCUCGGCUUUGAUCGCUCCCGUGCUGUCGCGGCC